rnacentral:rRNA from 1 species
AAACGACUCUCGGCAACGGAUAUCUCGGCUCUCGCAUCGAUGAAGAACGUAGCGAAAUGCGAUACUUGGUGUGAAUUGCAGAAUCCCGUGAACCAUCGAGUCUUUGAACGCAAGUUGCGCCCUAAGCCAUUUGGCCGAGGGCACGUCUGCCUGGGCGUCAAU